rnacentral:rRNA from 1 species
AUGGGAAGGUCAGCCAAAGAGAGUAAGAGCCUCGUAUUCGAAAUAGUCUUUAUACCUAGCAGUAUCCUGAGUACGGCGGGACACGAGAAAUCCCGUCGGGAAUCUGGGAGGACCAUCUCCCAACCCCUAAAUACUCUCUAGUGACCGAUAGUGAACCAGUACCUGUGGACUUAAAGAAUAUAGAAGAAUGAACAUGGGAAGGUCAGCCAAAGAGAGUAAGAGCCUCGUAUUCGAAAUAGUCUUUAUACCUAGCAGUAUCCUGAGUACGGCGGGACACGAGAAAUCCCGUCGG